AACGAACGCUGGCGGCAUGCCUAACACAUGCAAGUCGAACGAGACCUUCGGGUCUAGUGGCGCACGGGUGCGUAACGCGUGGGAACCUGCCCUUAGGUUCGGAAUAACUCCCCGAAAGGGGUGCUAAUACCGGAUAAUGUCUUCGGACCAAAGAUUUAUCGCCUUUGGAUGGGCCCGCGUUGGAUUAGCUAGUUGGUAGGGUAAAAGCCUACCAAGGCGACGAUCCAUAGCUGGUCUGAGAGGAUGAUCAGCCACACUGGGACUGAGACACGGCCCAGACUCCUACGGGAGGUAGCGGUGGGGAAUAUUGGACAAUGGGCGAAAGCCUGAUCCAGCAAUGCCGCGUGAGUGAUGAAGGCCUUAGGGUUGUAAAGCUCUUUUACCCGGGAUGAUAAUGACAGUACCGGGAGAAUAAGCUCCGGCUAACUCCGUG
rnacentral:rRNA from 1 species